GACGAACGCUGGCGGCGUGCUUAACACAUGCAAGUCGAACGGAAAGUCCCUGCUGUUGUGUGGUGCUCGAGUGGCUAACGGGUGAGUAACGGGGGGUUAAGCGUCGCUAGACUGUGGGAUAGCGGGGGGAAACUAGGGCUAAUGACAGCUAGUAGCGCCUGCUGCUAGGUAGUGGUUGGAAAUUUUCUGAGGGUUGGAAUUGACCCGCGACUAAUCAGCUUGUGGGUGGGGUAGUGGCUUACCCAGGCGUCGACGGGUAGCCGGCCUGAGAGGGUGGCCGGCCACAUUGGGACAGAGAUAGCAGCCAGAGUGCUACGGGGGCAAGCGGUGGGGAAUAUUCCACACAGGGCCGCAGCCGUAUGCAGCAACGCCGCGUGCGGGAUGACGGCUUUAGGGUUGUAACCCGCUUUAGCCUGUGAAGAAGCGUGAGUGACGGUAACGUGCCAAGAAGCACCGGCUAACUACGUG
rnacentral:rRNA from 1 species